GGGUAGUUUGACUGGGGCGGUCUCCUCCUAAAGAGUAACGGAGGAGCACGAAGGUUGGCUAAUCCUGGUCGGACAUCAGGAGGUUAGUGCAAUGGCAUAAGCCAGCUUGACUGCGAGCGUGACGGCGCGAGCAGGUGCGAAAGCAGGUCAUAGUGAUCCGGUGGUUCUGAAUGGAAGGGCCAUCGCUCAACGGAUAAAAGGUACUCCGGGGAUAACAGGCUGAUACCGCCCAAGAGUUCAUAUCGACGGCGGUGUUUGGCACCUCGAUGUCGGCUCAUCACAUCCUGGGGCUGAAGUAGGUCCCAAGGGUAUGGCUGUUCGCCAUUUAAAGUGGUACGCGAGCUGGGUUUAGAACGUCGUGAGACAGUUCGGUCCCUAUCUGCCGUGGGCGCUGGAGAACUGAGGGGGGCUGCUCCUAGUACGAGAGGACCGGAGUGGACGCAUCACUGGUGUUCGGGUUGUCAUGCCAAUGGCACUGCCCGGUAGCUAAAUGCGGAAGAGAUAAGUGCUGAAAGCAUCUAAGCACGAAACUUGCCCCGAGAUGAGUUCUCCCUGAGACUUAGAGUCUCCUGAAGGAACGUUGAAGACGACGACGUUGAUAGGCCGGGUGUGUAAGCGCAGCGAUG
rnacentral:rRNA from 1 species